UUUACAACACCGGAUUCCGGACGACCACCGAAGUUAAGCAACGUCAAGUCUGGUCAGUACCUAGAUGAAUGACCGCUUGAGAAUACCAGGUGCUGUAA